rnacentral:rRNA from 1 species
UACGUAGGGGGCAAGCGUUGUUCGGAUUUACUGGGCGUAAAGGGCGCGUAGGCGGUCAGCACAAGUCAGUUGUGAAAUCUCCGGGCUUAACUCGGAAAGGUCAACUGAUACUGUGCGACUAGAGUGCAGAAGGGGCAACUGGAAUUCUCGGUGUAGCGGUGAAAUGCGUAGAUAUCGAGAGGAACACCUGCGGCGAAGGCGGGUUGCUGGGCUGACACUGACGCUGAGGCGCGAAAGCCAGGGGAGCGAACGGG